rnacentral:sRNA from 14 species
GUAAAGUUAAUCACAAGCAAACAUAACCCCUUUGUUUGACCGUGAAACUUUCUCCCACCCCCCUGUCGAAUGAAGACGUGUGAAAAGGGACUGAUUCCAUUGAGGAUCGGUUCCUUU